AUGAUCAAUAGCUCCGCACCAGCACACCUCCGUAAAGGGACAAACUCCCUCAUUGCCCUCACUGCCUGGUCCAUCUGGAAACACCGGAACGCUGCCGUGUUUGACAAUUCCCGGCCAUCAAACAACGAUCUUGCUCGCACAAUCAAAGACGAGGCUCUCUUGUGGGCACAUGCAGGAGCAACUAGGCUAGCAUCAAUUAUUCCCGUAACCUGA
rnacentral:rRNA from 1 species